rnacentral:piRNA from 1 species
UACACAAAACCAGUGUAAGAUUUGGCUCACC